AAACUUUCAACAAUGGAUCUCUUGGCUCUUGCAUCGAUGAAGAACGCAGCGAAAUGCGAUAGGUAAUAUGAAUUGCAGAAUUCCGUGAAUCAUCAAAUUUUUGAACGCAAAUUGCACUUCUUGGUAUUCCAAUAAGUACACAUGCUUGAGGGUCAGUU
rnacentral:rRNA from 1 species